rnacentral:rRNA from 1 species
UCAGUAACACGUCGGUAACCUACCCUCGGGAGGGGGAUAACCCCGGGAAACUGGGGCUAAUCCCCCAUAGGCCUGGGGUACUGGAAGGUCCCCAGGCCGAAAGGGGCUCUGCCCGCCCGAGGAUGGGCCGGCGGCCGAUUAGGUAGUUGGUGGGGUAACGGCCCACCAAGCCGAAGAUCGGUACGGGCCAUGAGAGUGGGAGCCCGGAGAUGGACACUGAGACACGGGUCCAGGCCCUACGGGGCGCAGCAGGCGCGAAACCUCCGCAAUGCGGGCAACCGCGACGGGGGGACCCCCAGUGCCGUGGCACAGCCACGGCUUUUCCGGAGUGUAAAAAGCUCCGGGAAUAAGGGCUGGGCAAGGCCGGUGGCAGCCGCCGCGGUAAUACCGGCGGCCCAAGUGGUGGCCGCUAUUAUUGGGCCUAAAG